AGUGUCUGAAUCCCUGCUGUAAUGCCAGUACAUGCACACUGAAACAGGAGGCCGUAUGUGCACAUGGACAGUGUUGUGAAGACUGUCAGCUGAAGCCUGCAGGGACUCCGUGCCGUGAGUCCAGUAACUCCUGUGACCUGCCGGAGUUUUGCACAGGUGCCGAUCCCCACUGCCCCGCUAAUGUCUACCUGCACGACGGACACCACUGUCAAGGUGUGGAUGGACACUGUUACAACGGCAUCUGCCAGACACACGAGCAGCAGUGCAUCACACUGUGGGGACAGGGUGCAAAACCAGCUCCAGGAAUCUGUUUCGAAAGAGUCAACUCGGCGGGAGAUCCGUAUGGAAACUGUGGAAAAGACGCAAAGGGAUCAUUUGCCAAAUGUGA